CUGAUUUAACAACAUCUCAUUAUCUCAGAUGCUGUAAAGGACUGUCAGUAGGCCUUCAGCCAGGAGGUGGUGCUUCCAAAAGACUGCCAGCUGUGGUGGUAGUGGUGAGAUUUGGACUUGCCUUAUGUUACACAGGGGAGGCACUCUGGUGUCUCAGGAAAUAGGUGAAGCCAUAGAGCUUCUAAAAGUUUCUUCUGUUAUUUGUGUUAAUCUACCAGGGUAGGUGGUUGAGCAAAGCCAGUUGGGAACUAGGCCAGGUAAGGUGAUGCUCUGGCUCUCUAUGUGUGGGACAAGCAGUGGCUCCAGUGGGAAUUGGAAGGCAGUUCUUGGGCCACUGGAGUAAUUUUCCAGAGAGAAGUGAAGCUGUCUCUGCCUCUGUACAAGGAGAGUCCAUAUGAAGAAUGGGGAGUAGCAGCUUGGUAGUAAGCCCCAUCCAGCUCCCACACACUUGGCAAGGCAGGUCUCACACCCACAGUGUUCCACUGGGAGUAGCUAGCUAAGUUUCAAGAAGUCUGAGCUCAGAACUCAAAACUGACCCAUACCAUAAGUCUCCCCUAUGGAGACAGCAACUGCAACCUUCAGGCCACACCCUUCCUGAUCCACCUGCAGAGCAGGGGCCCCCAGCUCCUGUGCUUGCUGCUGCAGCACACUUCCCACUCACCUCUCAGUUCCGGCCUGGGGAGUUUGUCCCCAGUCAAGAUUAUAUCACACAUUUCAGUUGGGAGGUUGUCUCAACCUG
rnacentral:lncRNA from 10 species